rnacentral:lncRNA from 1 species
CCACAGUCCAAAUUACAUGACCCAAAUUUAAAACCUAAACCAAAUACAAUGGCCCAUUAACCAUGACCCAAAAAUAGGCCCAAUAAGCCCAAUGUCUAAAUCGAGAAACCCUAGCAGCUUUCCACUUGUGCCAUAGCAGCCCCCGCAACCUCCAGGCACCGUACAACGCCUCCAGCAACCACGUCAAUAGCCCUCGUACGCCAGCACAGUCUCCGUACGAUGCCAACGCAUCCCGUACCUGCAAGAAGGACAAACACAGCAGCAAAUACAAACAAAAAUGGCAGAACAGCAAAUAGAAGGGAACGAAAAUUGUAUUUGGAAUUUAUUUUUCCUUUUUCUUUUUUCUCUUCGGCUAUAAAAGCGAAGCUGCGAAUCAGUUGUAAAAGAGGAGGAUACACAUAUUGAAUGCAAAGAGCAGAGGUGAUUUCAUACUUUUCUUUCCGAUUUUUUUAUUUUCUUCUUAGUUUACUCAUUGUUAAUGCAUACAACUAAAAACCGAUGAAAGCCAUAAAUAUUUCUGCUCUGCGGAUAUAAUGGCGAGAGGUCAAGUAGCAGUAUUUACUUUACAAAUCUGUUUCCAUUUUUUUUAAAAAAAAUAAUAACGUGAGAUUCGAGCAUUUCAUUCAAACAAAGAAGGAGAGGAGAAAGAUACUUACUAAACCCUUUUAAAACUUGUUCAAGUGUCUUCAACGGGGAAAACGGGUGCUUUUUGCAUGCAGGUGAUUCGGCUGCUAAAUAGAAACCCAAGAAACUUAGUUCCCAGGCUGUUUUUUUCCGUAUAUUACCAGUUUUAGUCCCUAGAUGUUUUUGCGCGUUGGAUGUUCGUCCUUUUAUCAUUACUAUUUUAGUUUUUAAUUACCCCAUGUAUUUUAGUUUAAUUUUAAUCGAGUCCUUUCAUCUUAUACCUCUUUUUAUUUUAUUUUAUUUGUGCAUUUUAAUUAAUCUUGAUAAUUGCUUCUUCAUUCUUGUAGAUUCGUUUUUGUUUUAAUAUUAUGACCGUAUUUCGCACUCUUUAAAUAUUUAUUUCUUUUAUGUUAUUAUACAUAUACAUAUUGUUAUAAAAAAGUUAAUGUAUUUGCAUGUAUAUAAUAAUUCUUGGCUCUGUUCAUGUAUUUUGGAAUAUAUAUUUUUAUUAUUCUAACACGUUUUCUACAUAUAUUUUACGUAAUGUUUAAAUUAUUUUUAUGCUUAUUUAUAUUAGUAUACAUAUUAUAUAUAUAUAUAUAUAUAUAUAUAUAUUUCUAAACCUAUACAUUUUACAUUUACAUUUUCUUUACACAAAAGCGUGUUUUUUAAUCUAUUGUUUAAUUUAUUAUAAAAUUAAUUUAGCCCUAUGAAUAUUAUCUUUUCUAUGUAAUUUUACAUGUAAUUAUUUUCAAAAGUUAUAUAUACAUAUUGAUAUUAUUACUUUAAUAGGUUUUCCUACUUACAACAUUUUUGCGAUAUGAGUUAUCAAGUAUUUUCUUUAUGUAUGUAUAUAGAAAAAUUUUAGAAACCUCAUUUUUUUUUUGCAAUCACAAAAUUAUUAUUUUUGGAUGUUCCUUUGUAUUAAAUUACUUUGUGUUUUAUAUAGUCCCUUAUUUAAACGUUUUGAUAUAAACGCAUGUAUAUACUUUUUAGACUAAGUUAAAGUUUUUUAUUAAUCUAAUAAUUAUUUUUAAAGCUAUCUAUAUGUACAUAUGUUUUAUGAACAUACUUUGUGUAUUAUAUUUUCGCCAUAUGUCUUCAUUAUUCCUUUUUAUAUUAGACAUAUUAUUUAAAAUCGUCAUGUAGUUUGUCAACUUUAAAAUAUGUUUGUGUUUAAAUUUUUUUACUUGCAACUUGAUUCAAAUUUCCAUUCUUUAAUAUCCAUUUCAAAAUAUAUACACAUAUCCCUAUUUUUUUAAGCUUGUCAACCUAUAUAUAUAUCUAGCUUAUUAAUCUUAUACCAUUUUGAUUUCUACAUUUCAUUUGCUUCACGCAUAUCUUGUUGUUUUCUUUAUAUCUUAUGGCAUGAAUAUAUAUAAUCAUUGCAUGGUAUUCGUCUUAAUAAUUUGUUAAUUGUUCUUCGUAUGCGAUUGAGAUUUGAUUAUGAUCUUUAGAUUAAUUAUAUUUAAUUGCAUAUUUUGCUAGUCGAUUAAUAUUAUUAUCCAUCAAGCAUCGUACCAUUAUACGUGCCUUUUACCCUAUAUCAUCGUUUCACUUAAUUUUUGAAAUGUGGUUCUAUAAAACCCAAAUUUUAUGAUUAAUUUCGUCUUAUUUCAAAUCGAGUUAAUACGUCUUAAGCUAGCUUUAUAAUCAUUCAAAAAUUCUUCAAAACGAAGACGAGAUUCGAUGUUUGGCAAUUCGCGGAAUCGUGCCCUAACGUGUUGGGUUGCAAUAUCGUGUUUGCUCGAAAUAAUCGAAUAUCACUUCAAAAUUUCACUCAUGUCUUUUAAAAUUCUUCAAAACGAAGACGAGAUUCGAUAUUUAGCAAUUCGCGGAAUCUUGCCCUAACGUGUUGGGUUGCAAUUUCGCAUUUGCUCAAAGUAAUCGAGUAUCCCUUCAAAAUUUCCUUUCAUAUCUUCUAAAAAUAAUUUAAAACGAAGGCAAUAUUUGGCGUUUGACAAUUCGAGAAUCAUGCCCUAUUGUGAUGGGUUGUGAUUUCUUGUUUGCUCAAAACGAUCGAACAUUCCUUUACAUUCUCACUCAUGUUUAUAAAAAAAACUUAAAAACGAAGACGAUGUUCAAUAUUUCGCAAUUUGAGAAUCGUGCCCUAGCGUGCUGGGUUACGCUUUUUCAUUGGUUCGAAACAAUUGAACAUCCCUUUGGAAUUUCACUCACAUUUCCUAAAAUCUUUCAAAAUGAAGGCGAUGUUCGAUGUUUGGCGAUUUGAGAAUCGAGCCCUAUCGUGUUGGGUUGCGCUUUCUUAUUUGUCCAAAAUAAUCGAAUAUCUCCUCGAAAUUUUACACGUAUUUUAUAAGGUAAGGCAAUGGUCAAUGUUUGGAAAUUUGAGGAAUCGUGCCCUACUGUGCUGGGUUUCGAUUUUUCGUUGGACUAAAUAGUUUAGCAUCCUUUUGUGAUUUUCGAAUCAUAAAUUUUCAGACGUCGAAAUAAGAAGAUUUUUGGUAAUCAACUCGGGUUACUAAAAAAAGAACCACAUUUCAAAAACAUAUUUAAAUUUUAGACACAAGGACAGUAUUUAAUCGAUUCGGUACCAAUUUUGGGCGUAGUGAGGGUGCUAAUCCUUCCUCAUACGUAAUCGACUCCCGAACCCAUUUUCACAAAAGUUCGUUGACCAAAAUCGUUGUUUUAGAAAACUAAAAUGUUUUAUUAAAAUAACCAAAUUCUUAGGUGAUCUGAUCGCACCAAAACAAAAGGAUCGGUGGCGACUCCAUAUUUCUAUUUUCCAAAAAGUCGAUUCCCCUUUUUUUAUUAAAUUUAAAAUUUUUAAAAUCGAAGGAUGGUUUCGACAGCUUGGUGACUCCGCUGGGGAUGAACUUGAGAGUCGAGCCAUAAGAAUCGAUUAUUUACUGUCCUUUUGUCAAAAACCGAAAAUGCCUUUUAAAAAAAAUCAUGUAUCUUUCGAUUGCAUUUGAUUGUAUGAUUGUUUUGGUGCGGGUUUUGUAGAAUAGCAUUGUAUUUCAUUGCAUGACCACUGUGGUCACACCUUCUAAAUGGGAGUAAGAAGCUACGCUUUCGUGAGGUUUUCACCUUUGCAUGGGCUAGUGGAUUGCUUCCGGGGUACAUCCGUACCUAUGAUUUCGUGAGAUUUUCAUCUCCGCAUGGUCAUAGGGAAAUGUAUCCCCCCGAACCGAACUCGAUCUAUAUGAGUCUAUAAUUGGUGAGGAUUGAGGAAUCUGCUGGUUCGGGUACCCCUCUUCCUAGAACUAAACCACAUAUAGUGAACCUUAGGAGCUAUCCUUGGGUGGAGCCUCGUUGAGCCUUAGUACUUACCCGUAUAUGCGUUAUGUGCUUGCAUUCUAUUGCUAUUAUUUGAUACUAACCGGUGGUUUGUUUUGAUUAUCUUUUUUACAUGACAUUGCAUACUAAAUGAGGCGUUAAUCCGUAUUCAAUUACUAAGUUAGAAAAUUUGACAUGGAGAAUGAAUUUUUUAGUAACGUCGAGGAUAAUACGGUCGUUCGUGCAUGGUCGGAGAGGCUACAAUCAGAGAGAGGGGAUAUCUUGGCAGAAGGGCAUGUGUCGGAGCUGCAGGAUUUCACUCGCGUCAAUGUAGUACAGAAUGAGCUGCAAGAGUUAAGAGACAUUUGGGCUAGUUGGGAUGAAGGGAUCAAGCAGUUGUUUUACUAAAACUAUGGUGACAUAUCCUACCUGCUAGACAUUAGAGUAGAUAAGCAUUUGUUCCGAGCCUUGGUGCAGUUUUGGAAUUCUGCGUACAAGUGUUUCACUUUUCGAGAAGUGGAUUUGGUACCUACCAUGGAGUAAUACACUACGCUGCUUAGGUGUCCAAAGAUUCAGGUCUGGAAGACUUAUACCCGGGUUUUUAGUAAUCAGGUUUUCGUGAAGAAACUGAUGGGCAUUUCUGGGAUGAGCGAGCCUUGGGUCACUACUCGGAUUCAGCAAAAAGGAGAUAACAAAUGUAUCCCUUGAAAGAAUUUGCGAGAUUUGAUCUUGACUCAUCCAGACGAAAGAAAGAGGGUCGAUAUAUUUGCCUUAAGCAUCUACAGAUUAGUGAUCUUUCCUAAGGCUUUGAGGCACGUGGACGAGGUGGUCAUCGACUUGUUCGAUCGUCUUGAAAAGGGAAUCACACCGGUACCGGUAAUAUUGGCAGAAACGUUUAGAUCUUUGAGCUCAUGUCAGAAGACAGGCUAGGGGCGAUUUAUUAGAUGUGCUCAACUAUUGAUGGUAUGAUUUCAUGGGCACUUUUGGAAGGUAGACAAGGUUUCCUAUCGAGUCUUUUCCGAAGGUUAUUCCCCUUUGAAAGAAGCGGCAGCUAUACAGAGGAGAGAGGAUAUCUCGGAGGAGAAGUGGAUGGAUAUCAUUCAAAACCUCAAGGAUAGGGAUAUCGAGUGGAGAGCUUAUUGGAUGGUUCUGACGAGAUCAUGUACCGAUGUGGUAACUUUGAUUGGGUACCGUUGUUAGGAAUUUAGGGAGCUACCGGGUAUACUCCAUUGAUAGCCUUGAGGCAAUAUAAGUCGAGGCAGUUUGUACCCACGACCUAUGGGCUUGCUUAGAGUGAAUUCUCGUUUAAAGGUGCUCAUUAUAAGAAGAGAGUUCGAGAAUUAUUAGAUGCUUGGAAGCAGACUUGUUGGAUGAAGAGGUUAGCCGUCGGUUCCAUGGUAACACCCAAGUACAGCGAGUGGUUUAAGAAAAAGAUUAAUGAUAAUAUUCCUAGGCCAAGCUUGGAGAAUGCUCGACCUAUCGGGGAACAAUUACAAGUCACCCCAUCAGGAUUGGAGAUUAUAAGGCAAGAUUUUGAGAAGAAGAGUUUGGAGCUUGGGAAGAAGAUCGAACAAUUGGAGGAAGAGAAGAUGCACCUAAGGUUAGAGGCUGAUGUCCAGAGGUCAAAGGCUGAGAAGUGGAGAAAAGGAAAAACUAAGGCCGAAGAGGAUCUAGACAGCUUGAAGACUGACUAUAAGAAGCUGCGCUUAUCUAUGAGGACUGCGGGUUCAAGUAAGACUUCCGAACAAUGGUACCAUAAAAUUCGAGAAUAAAAGGCUAAUACAUACCGGUGGGAAAAGAAAUUUUGAGAAACUCAGGCACGAAACAAAGAUUUGGAGAAAAGUCUGUCGGAAAGCAGAAAUGAGCGAGGGGAAUUAAGGCUAGAGUGGCAGAACUCGAGAAGUCUCUACAUCAGUACCGAAAUCGCAACACUGCAUUAGAAUUGAGGGCGAGCUUGAGCAAGAUAGAAGAAAUGAAAGGAAGAAUAGAAGAGUUAGAGGCGUCACUGCAAAACUGUGAGAUGCAGAUCCAAUUUUUCGAGGCAAAUGAGGAUCGUUGGAAAGGGCAGCUUCACCAUGCGCAAGACCAAGUCAGAAACAGAGAUUACCUUAUGGGGGAAGCCAUAACCCAGAUUCGAGAGGUAGCGGACUACUUGCAAACUUUAGCGGUUCAGGCGGACACACUGAGCGUGAAGUAUGAGUUAGAGUCAGAGCACAGACAAGAGUUGGCCUCGUUGCUUAGAAAAAUUAGGACUUUAAGUGUUAGAGCGAAAUUUUAUUUGUAACUUGACUUUUUGUAAAAGAUUUUAUUUUCAAGUGAAAUUUUCUAAGGGCAGUUGAAUCAAAAUUGAUGCCUCCUUUGCAUUCAUGCAUUUGCAUUACAUCAUAUCAUUAUGCAUUAAAGGCCAUAAGGGUUUUCUAAUUAAUUAAUUAAAAAUUAUUUUAGUAACCUGGAAACCAACAAAAACCAACCAACCACGCACCCCUACGAUACAAGGAAAAAAUCAAUGGAUAAGAGACUCGAGAAAUUGGAGCAGAUGCAAAAAGACAUGCAAGAACAAAUGCAGUCCCAGAUGCAAGAGCAGCUGGCCAGGAUUCAGCGAGAGAUGAAAGAGCAAAUGAUGGAGUUCCAGAGGGAAAUGAUGAGUCAGUUAUCCCAAUUGCUGUUGGGAGGAACGGAUAAGGGAAAGGGCUCCAUGGACAAAAUUGAAUAAACUAACGAAGAUCCUCAAUACCCCAUGGCUUCACUCCGACACAUGUAUCAAUGAAGCCCGAGAUUAACCUACGGAAACCAUCUGUCACGAUCAUGCCCCAGCAAGUUCAGGCCGGAGCUUCAAUACCGAUGAAUUUCCAAAUCGACUCAGGCUCUAACUUUGUCAACAACUCGAACUAUCCGCCUGUUCCCAAUUUGGACGAAAUUGCUGAAGAAGAAAAAGCGAGGAUAGAUUCGCAAAAACAAUUGGAAGAACGAUGUAGAUGGCUUGAGGAGAAAUUCAAAUCCAUGGAGAGCGCGGAUCAUCAUCAAGGGAUUGAUGCCAAGAACCUAAGUUUGGUCCCAAAUUGAGUUCUUCCCCCUAAAUUCAAAAUGCCCGAAUUCGAGAAAUACAAUGGAACAAGUUGCCCCGAGGCUCAUAUCACUAUGCUUUACAGGCGAAUGACAGGAUAUGUUAACAAUGACCAGCUAUUAAUCCACUGCUUUCAAGAUAGUCUGGUCGAGGCAGCGUCUAAGUGGUACAACCAAUUAAGCCGCUCUAAGAUUAACUCGUGGAAGCACCUGGCCCAGGCUUUUAUGAAGCAAUACAAUCAUGUGACAGACAUGACCCCUAAUAGAAUCACUCUCCAAAACAUAGAGAAGAAAUUGAAUGAAAGCUUCAGACAGUACGCGCAAAGGUGGAGAGAAGUGGCCAUACAAGUUCAGCCACCGCUUCUAGAAAAAGAGACGACAAUGCUCUUUAUCAACACCUUGAAAGCCCCUUUUAUCACUCAUAUGUUAGGAAGCGCCACAAAAAGCUUCUCUGACAUAGUGAUGACGGGGGAAAUGAUCGAAAAUACUGUGAGGAGUGGCAAGAUAGAAUCGGGAGAGAGUGCCAAUAAGUCGGCCUCGAGGAAAAGAGACAAUGAAGUGAACAAUACGAGCACAUCCAACAAAGGUCAGUCCAAGUCAUUCACCGUAAAUCAACCCAAGACGGUGACCACCAAUCAGCAAAGCUCUAUAAGACAAGAACCAACGUGAGGGAGAACACAGAAAGGCCACAAUUUACCCUUAUACCCAUGACGUAUAGGAAAUUGUAUCAGAACCUGUUCAACGCUCAUGUGGUGUCCCCUUUAUACCUGAAGCCACUGCAGCCCCCAUAUCCCAAAUGGUAUGACACAAACGCCCAAUGUGAAUACCACACGGGAAUCACCGAGCACUCUAUCAAAAACUGCGUUGCGUUGAAAAAAUUAGUCGAAAGACUCAUUAAGAUGGGGAUCGUGAGAUUUGACGACCCAGCCACACCCAAUGUAGCAGGAAACCCACUCCCCAAUCAUACCGACCAAGGAGUGAAUGGGAUAAGUGAAGGAAAGAACAAGAAAAUCAAGAAUGAGGUGGCAGAAGUCAGGACCCCAUUGAGGCAGGUAUGGAAGGAGAUGGCCAAGAGAGGAUUGAUUGCGUUGGAUUCGAGGGACGAAUCUGAAGAAGAGAGGAACUGCUGCGAGUUCCACGAUGAGGAGGGGCAUGAAAUCCAAGAGUGUGUGGAAUUCAGAGCUCUAGUGCAGAACAUGAUAGAUAAUAAGGAAAUGGAGUUUUAUGAAGAGAUAGAAGACCCCGUAGAGGGAGAUAUAUGUGCAUCAGAAGGAGAACCGACGGCACAGAAUGAAACAGCUAACUAUCCUGUAUUUAUCAUAUCGAGACCCAAAAAUAAUGAAGCAAGAGUACAAAUGCCACCGAGAGUCAUAAUCCAAAGACCUGCAGUCUUCCCCUACAAAGACAGCAAAAAGGUCCCAUGGAAUUAUGAUUGUAAUGUAAUGAUUCCAGGGAAGGAAAGCCUCGUGGAUGCUUCAAAAGAGGGUCAAGACAAGGGCUCUUAUACACGUAGCGGGAGACGUUACAAUGUAGCAAAUGAGGAGGUACAACCCGUAAAAGGAAAAACCCCAAUAGCCGAGGAAAUAAAAGAAAAAGCAACCAAGCCUGUUAACGAGCCAGUUAACAAAGAGGAGGCCAAUGAGUUUUUAAAAUUCCUAAAACAUAGCAAAUACAGCGUGGUGGAACAACUACGUAAACAACCAGCCCGUAUCUCGGUGCUAGCCUUACUUCUAAGCUCAGAAGUUCAUCGCAGCACGCUAAUGAAGGUCUUGAAUGAAACAUACGUUGCCAAUGAUAUCUCUGUUAACAAGCUAAACCGUUAGGUUAGCAACAUAAGUGCCGACAAUUAUAUUUUCUUUAAUGACGAUGAGAUACCACCCGGUGGCAUGAGGUCGACUAAACCUCUGCAUAUCACCACACGCUAUAAAGGAUAUACGCUGCCGGGCGUACUGAUUGACAAUGGUUCAGCCUUGAGCGUCUUGCCCUUGACUACACUUAACAGACUACCUAUAGGCAGCUCUCACAUGAAGGAGUGCCAGAACAUCGUGAAGGCAUUCGAUGGCACGGAGAGAAAGGUGAUGGGCAGAAUCGAGGUACCUCUUCAGAUCGGGCCAAACACAUAUGAGGUGGAUUUCCUCGUAAUGGAUAUCAAGCCCUCAUACAAUUACUUGUUGAGGAGGCCCUGGAUACAUUCAGCUGAGGCAGUGUCUUCCUCGUUGCAUCAAAAAUUGAAGCUGGUAUCGGAGGGGACGUUGAUAACGAUUAAGGCUGAAGAGGAUAUUAUUGCAACUGUGAGCAAUAAUGCACUCUAUUUGGAGACAGAUGACGAAGCAAUCGAAUGCUCAUUUCAAUAUUUGGAAUUUGUUAAUGCGACGUUCAUCGCUAAGGGAAGCAAAAUUCUGGUGUCGAAAUUGUCCAAAAUCACGAGGAUGAGCCUCUAGUUGACGAUUGGAAAAGGGGCCUUACCCGGAAGGGGACUUGGGAGACAUCUGCAAGGAAGGGUUGAAACGCCAAUGCUGAAGGACAAGAGAGACCGCUUCGGCUUAGGAUUUAAGCCGGAUGCGAAACAAAGGAGAAGGGAACUGGAAAAGAAGCAAGAAAGAAUGAAAGCUCGGUUAACGGGGGAGGAGAUCAAGUGGGAAUCAAUGAUAUUCCCUCAUAUAUUGGAAACAUUUGUGUCCGGGGGAAUCAUUCAUCCCAAGAGAGAUACGCCAAUAACGGGAACUAUAGAAGAAAGGCUGGAUAGCUUGGACAUCAACGUCAUGUACGAAGAGGAGACUGAAAGAGAAAAUUUGUCGGGCAUUUGCCCCUACACACUUGGGAGCGUUCUGGACAACUGGACUGCGGAAGAGAUUCCUGUAGUUUUUAGAACGAAUUCAGAGUAAUAUCCAAAACACACUUAUUGCUCUAGGCCUAGGAGUAAUAAGAAUCUUUUGUGAAAUAGGCCGAUGUUUAAAAAACGUUAUUUCAAUAAAAUGCACAGUUAUUAUCAUUUUUGAACAAAUGUUCUCUCGUCCUUUCAAUUUCAUUCAUAACCAUACAAAUGAUUACUUUCGGAUUCUUUUAUUCUUGAAACAUUCUUCUAAAUAUUCUUUCUGUCGAAACCCUUUUUAUUUUGAAAGCAAUGGGGAUCGAAUUUUGAAAACUCAAAAAUGUGGAGUCGCCACCAACCUUUUGUUUAGGUGUGAUUGGAUCACCUAAUAAAACAUUUUAAAACAAUUCUGGUUCACAAAAAUUUAAAAAUGGGUUCGGGAGUCGGUUACGCAUGAGGAAGGGUUAGCACCCUCAUUACACCCAAAAAUUGGUACCAAAUUGAUUUGAUGCUGUCCUUGUAAAAAAUUUAAAGGAAAAGAUUUUCCGAAGUAUGAUUUUUCUUAAAAAUGUUUGAAUAGCUCAAAUUAGCGGUCAAAAAUCUCUCAUUCCAAGGACAUGCGGUUUCAUACCCAGUACGAUUGGAUAUGAUCCCUUAUACCUUUAAGGUACGAUCGAUUUUCGACUUUUGAAAAAUUCGUGCAUUAAAAUCAUAAAAGGUUAUCUAAAUAUUUGGUUCACCGGAAAAGUCAUACCCAGUACGAUUGAGCACGAUUUUCCGAAUUCUCCAAAUAUUAGAUAUUACCUUAUUUCAGAAUUUUUGAAUAACAGAAAAUUGAAAAUUUGCUCAAAAAAACACGUUUAUUUGCAUAAAAACUUGGGAUACAUGUUCAUUAAAUUGUUAUUACAAAAUACAAAGUUCAAAUCAAAUUAUAUAUGAAAUAUUUAAUACACAAAUCCAUUCAAAAAUUGAUAAUUCUCAUGAUAAAAUUAUGUACAGAAGAAAUUUAUGAAACAUGUAUAUACAAGUAAAAAUUGGAUAUAAUUAUUUGUAAAAAAAUGAAAUUAAUAAUGUAUGAAAGAAACAAAGUAAAUAUAUAAGUAUAUAGGUAACAAAAUAUAUAUAUAAUAAUGCAUAAGGAUAAUAUGGGAGUGUGUACAAUAAAUAAGUGGUAUGAUUAAAAACAUGGUUCCCAAAAGAAAUAUAUUGUACAUAUAAAUAUCUUUAAAAUAGGUUCUACACAUAAAAAAAUAUUUAUAUGAAGAUAUAUGAGAAUAAUAAUAUGUAUCAUAGUAAAAAUAAUUUAAUAUGUGUUAUACAUGUGAAGACACUUUAGAAAUAAUUGUAUAUUUAAGUAACAUGGAAUUAAAAUUUGAAUUAUAAAAUUAACUUAAUUUUACUGUGAGAUAUACAUACAAAGAAAUUUUAGAAAUAGUUGAAUGUUGAAGUAAAAAAAAAUUGAAUUUUAAAAUCAACUUAAUUUUAUUAUAUAUUAUAAGUUUACUAAAACUAAAAAACAGUUAAAUACAAAUUUAUUAGAAGGCUAUAUAUAUAUAAUAAGAACAACAAGGCUUUAAUAUAUGUAGAUUAAACAUAAAUACCAAAUAUACUUAAUAAACAUGUAAAUAUAUGGAUGAAUCUAAGAGAAAUUACAAAAUAUCAUGAAACUAAUAGUAUACACAAACUAAAAUGAAUUAUAUUACAAAUAGUACACCAAUUAUUAAAAUAAUAGAAUAAAAACAGAAAAGAUUACAAAAUUCGGCUAUCAAAAUAAUACAAAAUAUCACAAUCAAUGAUAAAGCAUGUAAAAAAAUGUAUGUGCAGUAAAAUAAAGAAAUAAGACUUAAUUGAAGCAAAAUUGAAACAGGAGAAACAAUUUACAAACAAAAUAAAAUAAAAAUUGGAUCAAUGUGCCAUGCGCACAAACAUGUGGGGGCUGGUAUUGAAAAUAUCCCGUGCUCAAAAUGCAGUAAUGAACCGCGGAUCCAAUUGAAAAACGCACAAACUAGCAGGCCAAUUUUAAAACAUAAAGAAGGCGAAUCGGGCGCAAAUUGAGGGCUCGCGAAAAGAGAAGGAUAUGUUGCACAAAUAGACCAUUUUAGGCACAAAAGGCUCCCCUCACCCUUCUUACACGGUACCGUUUUGUUUAAUAGGCUAUUUAAGCCUUCCUUUUCCCAUUCUCUUCUCCAAAGGCAGCCACUCAUCCCACUCAAAUGUACAGCCCCCAAAAUCAAAAUAUUAGGGUUCAUAUUCACAGCCAUGGAACCACCAUUUUAUUUGGUGGCUAUUGACGCAUGAACCACAACUAGACCUCACCAUCGAAGGCUCCACUCGAGGGAAUCUGGUAAGCCAAUUUAUUUUUCCUUUUUUUUUAAAAAAAUUUCCUAGAUCUGAUAUUGUUUGCUCAAGAAAAAUCAAACCGAAGUUGAGAACCUACAUAUUUAACAACAUCUGACCCUCACCCUUAUUUCAAUAUUUCAGAAAUAUUAGGGAUUUCAUUGGCGUCAUUUUGAGGCAUGAGGUCUAAUACUUUUAGAUUUCCCUUCCAACUUCGAUCUCAACGAAGUGAAAUAGAGGUCUAAAGCCGAUUCACAAGGUAAAACUCGACUUCUUUUUAUUCUAAAAUGCAGAAUGAUGAAGGUAAUUGCAAGGAAAAAAAGAAAUAAAAAAAAUAAGGGAACAAAUUGAAAAAAAACCCGAAAAAUCACCCUUCAAGAAAUUCUUUUCGAAAAUUUUUGUACUCUUCUCUGCGUAUAGUGUGCUUGCGUAAGUAUCUGUUUUGUGUGCGUAAAAAAUUAUGGAUUACAUCACUGGCUUUUAUAUCCAUAUUUCCAAAAUAAAUAAAAUCUAAAAAAUCCUAUUUUCCUAUUGUCAUUUGCUGUGAAAUCUGUUAUUGACUCCUUCUAAUGUCUUCUUUUGCAGUCUCAGUUGUACGGAGAAGAUGAUCCGGGGAUCUCGCGUGGAAAACCAUCCCUUUGGUAUUCUUCCAGUAUAUUCUAGGAGCUACUGCUGAAAUUCUCCUUCUUUUGGGUUCUUUUGGGUUUAGGCUAGGAUAUGGAUUUAUUAGAGUUGGGUUUUAGGACAUGGGUUAUUUUUGUAUUUUGAAAAUUGUAAAUGGACCUUUUUUAGUCUUGGACCUUAUUCAUUUAUUUGGGUUUAUUUAUUUGCAAAUAAAUUAAAUGGGCCCGGGCAAAAUUGGUUGACUACAGCUGCCCCUCUUUGCUCAUUGACGUGUAACGGGAAUAGAGCAAAGACUUCAAAAGAACCGAUUUUGCUUGGUCUUGUUAAUUUUUGGCUUUUUGGCGCUUCUAUUUUCCAAACACCUUUAGGAAGAUGAGGUUGAUAGGUUAAAUCUACUCCAUUAUCGAUACAUGGAAGAUAAGAUUCACCAUUUUCAAUCUACAGUCUGCUUUUUUGCUACCUCAAGAAAAUAAGACUCCCUUUUUAACCUGCUCUCUUGCCACCUCAGAGAAAUAAGGCUAGUGGUAAAAUCUACUCCAUUGCCGAUACAUGAAGAUAGGAUUCACCAUUCUCGAUCUGUUCCGCUGCAACUUCAGUGAGAUAAAAUCUUCAAUUCUCAUUCUGCUUCCUUGCUACCUCAGGAAAAUAAAACUCGUUCUUCAACCUGCUCUCUUACUACGUCAGAGAAAUAAGGCUUGGUGGUAAAAUCUGCUCCAUUGUCGAUACAUGGAAAUAAGAUUCACCAUCUGUAAAGAUCUACUCCGCUGCAAUCUCAGGGAGAUAAAAUCUUCAAUUCUCAGUCUGCUUCUUUGCUACCUCAGGAAGAUAAGACUCAUCUUUCAACUUGCUCUCUUGCUACCUCAGAGAGAUAAGGCUAAUAGCUAAAAUCUGCUCCAUUGCCGAUACAUGGAGAUAAGAUUCGCCAUCCUCAAUCUGUUCCGCAACUACCUAGGGAAAUAAGAUCUGUAAUCUUCGGUCUGCUUCCUUGCUACCUCAGGAAGAUAAUACUACAAUUUUCAACCUGCUCUCUUGCUACCUCAGAGAGAUAAGGUCAAUAGUUAAAAUCUGCUCCAUUGCCGAUACAUGGAGAUAAGAUCUGUAAAUUCCAGUCUGCUUCCUUGCUACCUCAGGGAGAUAAGACUACUAUCGUCAAUCUGCUCCAUUGUCGAUACAUGGAGAUAAGAUUUGUCUUUUCCAAUCUUUAAUCUUCAGUCCGCUUUCUUACUGCCUCAGAAAGAUAAGACUCAUUCUUCAACCUGCCCUCUUGCUACCUCAGAGAGAUAAGGUUGGUGGUAAAAUCUGCUCUAUUGCCGAUACAUGGAGAUAAGAUUCACCAUCUUUGAUCUGCUCCGCUACUGCUUAGGGUGAUAAGAUCUUCAAUCUUUAGUCUGCUCCACUGCAACUUUAGGGAGAUAAGACUUGUAUAUUGAGACUGUUUUACUGCAACUGACAUUUCAACCUGCUCCACUGCAACUUCAGGGAGGUAAGGUUUGCAAUCUUCGAUCUAUUCCUCCGCAACUUCAGGGAUAUAAGAUCUGACUUCACCGAUGUUACUACACCGUUUUCUCGAACCUGUCCUGUAGACUCGAUUUCAUGUAUCAUGUUUAUGCCAAAUAAUUAGGAUGUUAUGAUCAAAAUAAAUCAAAUGCUCCUAACUAGAUGUGAUGCUUAUGUCAACUAAUUAGAAUGCUAUGAUCAAAAUGAAUCAAAUGCACCUAACUAGAUGUGAUGCUUAUGUCAAAUAAUUAGGAUGUUAUGAUCAAAAUGAAUCAAAUGCACCUAACUAGAUGUGAUGCUUAUGUCAAAUAAUUAGGAUGCUAUGAUCAAAAUGAAUCAAAUGCACCUAACUAGAUGUGAUGCUUAUGUCAAAUAAUUAGGAUGUUGUGAUUAAAAUGAAUCAAAUGCACCUAAUUAGAUGUGAUGAAUGAUAUAUGAUUGCAAAAAAUGAAAAUGAUCUUUUUUUUAAUGAUCUUUUCUUUUUUCUUUUUCUUGGAAAAAAAUGCUUAAGGCAUCCUUGCUUGUUAUUCACCAGAGCCUUAUCACUGACUUAUUAUGCUGCUAUCUUGUUCGGCGGGUAUUCUUGACAGAAAACGCAAAGAAACAAUCACAUUCUGCUCAGCAAGCUUGCCCCGCUGUUAUUUCAGAGUCCCUUACACUUUAGUCUUCUGGGACAUAAAAUUUGAACUUCCCACUGUAACCUCAGGGGAAUAAUCAUUUGAUUUCUUCUAUCCAUCCUGCUAUAACUCAGAGGUAUAGGAUCUUCAAUUAAUUUGAUCUGUUACACCAUUCCCUGGGUAUAAUGAACAGAUGUAUAUGCCUGAUAUCUGUAUAAAUACAGAAUACCAUUUUCUUUCAAGAAUAACCCCAUUGCUCAUUCUUUGCCGGGAUUAUAACACCAAUUAAUAUCAUUGACAGAAAAUCCAAGGAGAUAAUCUCAUUUUAGGCUUUAAAUAUUUUCAACCCUUAAGCUUGGUGAGUUUUAAACAAUGGUCCUAUUUCAGGCUCCUGUAUUAUUUAAAAACUCCCUAAAGUAAUAUGCGAAACUUCCUUUAUGAAAGUAUUAUUAGUCCAAAAAUCGUUAUUUCAAUGCAAAAUGCUUGAAAAAGAUCAUAACCAUGGACAAGAAAGGAAUUAAUUGAAAACAUAGCUUGAAACAAACAAGCAAAUGCAACCAAGAAAGAAAUCUUUUAGGACGUGACCUGAAAAGAACAAGGUAAUCAAAGAUAACAAAAAAUGGGUAAAAAUGGAAAGCUAGGUGCCCCAGAUAUCGCAGCUUGAUCUUCUCUGUACCAACUUCUUGAGGACCAUUCUGAGCUCAAUCUGUGUUUAUGGGAUCUGGAGUAUUUGUCAAUGCCCCAAGACGUAACAUUCUUCUUUUAUUGUUAAUUCAGACCUAGCAAGACUAUUGUAUGCCCCAUUUUAAUCCAAAUCUGAGUCACCCUUUUCGGGUUUUCAACUCAAACCCCCUUUGGUCUCAAAGUGCCCUUUGCGGGUUUUCACUUUGGCCUCUCCUUUUUCUUUCUUUUUCAAUUUCUUUGAUUGAUUCUUUCUUUCUUUUUUUGAUUUUUUCUUUUUAUUUAUCUUUUUUAUUCUGAUUUUUUUUAAGGUCUCAAGGCGCCCUUUGCGGGUUUUCACCUUGGCCUCUCCUAUAGAACACUCUUUGACUGCAUUUUGAAUUCCCCGAACUGGGCAAAUCCUUUCGAUCAAAAACAGGCCUUCUUUACAUAAGGUCCCUUUUAGUUUGGCAUAUUUCUUCCUUUAAAGUCCUUUUGUAUAGGAAGGAUCUUCUUCAAUAAUAAACUCCCCUUAUGGAAUUCUCGAGGAUAAACCUGCAUCAUCCGAUUGCGAUGGCUAUCCUUUAAAUUUGACUGACCAUAUCAGGAUUGAACCCAUUCUAAUUCAUCUAACUUUAGUUGUGCCAAGACUCGAAGAAAAAGAACCUCGUCUUCAAAAACUGUUUCAGUCCUAUAAAUCAAUGUGUUGCCCCGGUAAAGGUUUCGGCCUACGUUCAAUAAACAUAGAGGGUAAAUGAUAACUUCUUUAUGCCAAUCCUUACAAGACUCAGUCAUUUUUCAUUAUGACUUUUGUUCUAUUAUUUGCUUUUCCUUUUUUCUAUUUUUGAACUUUUGUUUUUCUUUUUGGAUGCCUUUGCUGCACUGUGAUAUAUUGUUUGAUCUUUGAACAGAUUGCAUACUUUUGACAUUGGGCAGUUGUAUUUGAAAGUAAUCCUUUCUGACAUUACUUAUUAGCAACCUUUUUGUUUUUUUUGUUUUUUUUUGUUUUUUUUGUUUUUGGAAUUUGAGGACUAUUAGUCUUGUAAUAUUGACAUAUGAAGCGACCUUCACCCUCUUCAUGAAGUAAUCAAUGAUUGCUAAGAUAAAUCGAUGUAUAUUAGACGAGAAUGGCCUGAUAACAUCCUUGCCCCACAUAGAGAAAGUCUGUGAAGAAAUGAAUAAGACACAUGAAUCUUGUCUCACUAAAUACAACCCAACUAAUGCGAUCCCCUUCCAUGGUGAAUCAACAGUACCCAAACCUCAUGAUUAACGUGGCUACCAUAAAACCAUCUACAUGUGUCCUUCUGACGCCAUUUAGACAUUUUGUAUUAUCCACAGAUCUUAGUAUCCCAGGUAUAUCUUGACAUGAUCAUGCGAAAACAUCUUUGAAUUCUUAAAGUAACUCAAAGAUAAUUCAUUUUGUCCCUGUGGUGACUCAGGUUUCAAUCUUUGUCCCUUGUUCACAAUGUCCAUUGACCCUUCGUAAAGUAGGAUCUUUUUUCAUCUUGUUCUACCGUCCUUAAAAAAUCAGGAAAUAAGUCACAAUCUCUGUCAUCUUCAAAGUCCUGAAAUCCGAUUAAACACCUAUCUCACCCCAAAAGGGAGUCAGUUACAGCGUUGCUCAUGUCAUUGAUAUCUGGGGACCUAUAGUAGGUACAAAGGCAAAUUCUAAGGAUAUUUAUUUGUAUGGUAUGAUCGUGAAUGAAGAAUGAAAGCAUAUUUAAAAAGUAAAUAGUCCAAAGAACAAAAGAAUAUGUAAAGAAUGAGAGAAUAUUUAAAAAAGUAUGCAUUUUAUUGAACUAAAAAUUUUGGACACAAGCCUAUUUCACAAAAGGAUUCUUAUUGCCCCUAGGCUUAAGGAAACAAGAGUGUUUUGAAUAUUACUCUGGACUAGCUUUUAAAAAUACAGGGAUCUCUACCACAGUCCCUUUGCUCAAAACACCCCCAAGUACAUAAGGGCUUGGAAACCUUUAUUCCUUGGACCUCUCUUUGGAUAUGUCAUUCAAAUUCUCUUUGAUAAUUGGUGGUUAUAACCUUUGGCUGGCCUAUGUUGACCAAUUUGGAAGGCAUGCUCAUGAUGUUCACUUCAUUUUCCUUGUUUCCCGGAGUUGACCCUUUGGCGCUUUCUCCCAUAUCUAUUUUCCCAUUUCUUAUCGCACCUUCAAUCAUCUCACCGGACAUUACUAUAUCUAAAAAGCUCAGAGUAGCACUUCCCAACAUAUGAUUAAUGAAUGGGGCUUCCAGAGUAUUGAUGAAAAGUAUCGCAGUCUCCUUCUCUAAAAGAGGCGGUUGGACUUGUGUUGCUACCUCUCUCCAUCUUUGGGCAUAUUGCCUAAAGCUCUCAUUUUGCUUCUUUUCCAUGCUUUGCAAGGUAAUUCUGUCAGGUGCCAUGUCUGUUAUGUGACUAUACUGCUUCAUGAAGGCUUGUGCUAAGUCUUUCCAUGGUUUGAUUUUAGCACGACUCAAUUGAUUGUACCAUUUAGCUGCUGACCCGAUCAGACUGUCCUGGAAGCAAUGAAUUAAUAAUUGGUCGUUAUUAAUAUAUCCUGUCAUCCUUCGACAGAACAUUGUGAUGUGAACUUCAGGAAAACUAGUCCCAUUGUACUUUUCAAACUCUGGAGUUUUAAAUUUUAGCGGAAGUACCAGAUCGGGAACCAAACUUAGAUCUUUAGCGUCAAUCCCACAAUAGAAGUCAACAUUCUCCAUUGCUUUUAAUUUUUCCUCCAACCACCUAUACCGAUCCUCAAGUUGUCUUGGCAAUUCCCUCUCUGUUUUUUUCUAUUUUAUCUAGAUCAGGAACUUCAAGAUUAGUGGGGUUGCCCCCCGGAUUGGAACCUGAACCUAUCGGGUAAUCUACCAGUGCCGAGUUACCAGCCUGAUAUUGCUGAGUUCUGAUAAUAGGUACACCUUGCGGACCUGUCUGAACAUUUGUCGGGGUGAAACUUGGAGGGUAGAGAGGCUUUUUAUUGUCCCUCCCAGUAUUGAUCAUGGAACUUUUCUUUUCUUCAAGCCCCUUUUUCAGCAAUUGAGACAAUUGGUUCAACAUAUUCCUUUGAGACUCCAGGAUCAGAUCUCUCAUAUCUUGCCUAAUCUUCGCCAGUUGCUAUUGCAUCUGUAUUUGUAAUUGGUCUUGCAUCUCUCUUUGAAGUUGUUCAAGUCUUUGCAAUCUUUUGUCCAUAUCUUUUGUCUUAGCACGGGUACCGUAAUGACGCUUGGUUGGUAAGUUUUUAUUGGUUCCCAGAUUAACUGAAAUGAUUUCAACCAAUUAGGGACCCCUUUUAUGAAAAUUUAAUGCAAAUGAUAAAAUGAUGCAAUGUAAUGCAAAUGCAUGGGAUGGGUGCAAAAGAAAGGGAAGUGUUGAUUUUCAAUUUAAUUCCAUUAGAACAACUUUUCUAGAAAACAAAUCCCUUUACAUAAAACGGAUUACACAUACGACCUUGCUUUCAUAUUCCAAGCGAAGACACCGAUCCCUUUUCUUCGUGAAAUCCAAAUCUCGCAAACCUCUAAUAAAUGCCGCAUCUAGGUCUUCUUUGCUUGAUCCAGGCUAUGACUCAUUAUCCUCACUAUGUUGAUUAGCUCCAUUAAGAAAAUCAAGAUACGAUGGCUCUUGAACAAUCUUUAUUAGCUUGAAUCUUCAGGUAAAAACUUGUUUUUCUCCAUGAACUGGCAGCAUUCUUCCGUCAAUUCAGACAACUGUAUUAUAAUCCGCUUUAUCAGGAAAUUCAUUUUCUUAUGACAAACUGUUCUAUUUAGUAAUCAAAUAUGAAUCAACACCUCCUUUCUAUGAUGAUGUAAUGCAAUGCAGUUAUAAACAAAACAAAAACAAAACUCGUUAGUACAGGAGAAAUAAAUAACAAAUAAAAGACCUAUUCGGGUGACCACUAAAUUUGGGCAAGGUUCUACCUAAGGUGAACUCUCAAGGUUCGCUAUAUGUAGCUCGAUUCUAGAGAAAGGGUACCUGAACCAGCAGAUUCCUCAAUUCUCACCCAUUAUAGGCUCAUAUGAAUCGAGUUUGAUUCAGGGGAAUACAUUUCCCUAUGACCAUGCGGAGAUGAAAAUCUCACGAAAUCAUAGGUACGGAUAUAUCCCGGAAGCAAUCCACUAGCCCGUACGGAGGUGAAAACCUCACGAAAGCAUAGUUUAUUACUCCCACUUAACAGGUAUAAUCACAGCGGUCAUGCAAUACAAUGCCAUAUUAUUCUACAAGACUCAAACCAAAACAAUUAUGCAAACAGAUGCAAUUUAAAGGAAUCGUGAUCUUCAAAACAAAUUUUCAAUUCUUUGACAAAAGGACAGCAAAUAAUCAAUUUUAUGGCCUGACUCUCUUUGUUCAGUCCCCAGCGGAGUCGCCAAGCUGUCGAAACCCUUUUAUUUUGAAAGCAAUGGGGAUCGAAUUUUGAAAACUCAAAAAUGUGGAGUCGCCACCAACCUUUUGUUUAGGUGUGAUUGGAUCACCUAAUAAAACAUUUUAAAACAAUUCUGGUUCACAAAAAUUUAAAAAUGGGUUCGGGAGUCGGUUACGCAUGAGAAAGGGUUAGCACCCUCAUUACGCCCAAAAAUUGGUACCAAAUUGAUUUGAUGCUGUCCUUGUAAAAAAUUUAAAGGAAAAGAUUUUCCGAAGUAUGAUUUUUCUUAAAAAUGUUUGAAGAACUCAAAUUAGCGGUCAAAAAUCUCUCGUUCCAAGGACAUGCGGUUUCAUACCCAGUACGAUUGGAUAUGAUCCCUUAUACCUUUAAGGUACGAUCGAUUUUCGACUUUUGAAAAAUUCGUGCAUUAAAAUCAUAAAAGGUUAUCUAAAUAUUUGGUUCACCGGAAAAGUCAUACCCAGUACAAUUGAGCACGAUUUUCUGAAUUCUCCAAAUAUUAGAUAUUACCUUAUUUCAGAAUUUUUGAAUAACAGAAAAUUGAAAAUUUGCUCAAAAAAACACGUUUAUUUGCAUAAAAACUUGGGAUACAUGUUCAUUAAAUUGUUAUUACAAAAUACAAAGUUCAAAUCAAAUUAUAUAUGAAAUAUUUAAUACACAAAUCCAUUCAAAAAUUGAUAAUUCUCAUGAUAAAAUUAUGUACAGAAGAAAUUUAUGAAACAUGUAUAUACAAGUAAAAAUUGGAUAUAAUUAUUUGUAAAAAAAUGAAAUUAAUAAUGUAUGAAAGAAACAAAGUAAAUAUAUAAGUAUAUAGGUAACAAAAUAUAUAUAUAAUAAUGCAUAAGGAUAAUAUGGGAGUGUGUACAAUAAAUAAGUGGUAUGAUUAAAAACAUGGUUCCCAAAAGAAAUAUAUUGUACAUAUAAAUAUCUUUAAAAUAGGUUCUACACAUAAAAAAAUAUUUAUAUGAAGAUAUAUGAGAAUAAUAAUAUGUAUCAUAGUAAAAAUAAUUUAAUAUGUGUUAUACAUGUGAAGACACUUUAGAAAUAAUUGUAUAUUUAAGUAACAUGGAAUUAAAAUUUGAAUUAUAAAAUUAACUUAAUUUUACUGUGAGAUAUACAUACAAAGAAAUUUUAGAAAUAGUUGAAUGUUGAAGUAAAAAAAAAUUGAAUUUUAAAAUCAACUUAAUUUUAUUAUAUAUUAUAAGUUUACUAAAACUAAAAAACAGUUAAAUACAAAUUUAUUAGAAGGCUAUAUAUAUAUAAUAAGAACAACAAGGCUUUAAUAUAUGUAGAUUAAACAUAAAUACCAAAUAUACUUAAUAAACAUGUAAAUAUAUGGAUGAAUCUAAGAGAAAUUACAAAAUAUCAUGAAACUAAUAGUAUACACAAACUAAAAUGAAUUAUAUUACAAAUAGUACACCAAUUAUUAAAAUAAUAGAAUAAAAACAGAAAAGAUUACAAAAUUCGGCUAUCAAAAUAAUACAAAAUAUCACAAUCAAUGAUAAAGCAUGUAAAAAAAUGUAUGUGCAGUAAAAUAAAGAAAUAAGACUUAAUUGAAGCAAAAUUGAAACAGGAGAAACAAUUUACAAACAAAAUAAAAUAAAAAUUGGAUCAAUGUGCCAUGCGCACAAACAUGUGGGGGCUGGUAUUGAAAAUAUCCCGUGCUCAAAAUGCAGUAAUGAACCGCGGAUCCAAUUGAAAAACGCACAAACUAGCAGGCCAAUUUUAAAACAUAAAGAAGGCGAAUCGGGCGCAAAUUGAGGGCUCGCGAAAAGGGAAGGAUAUGUUGCACAAAUAGACCAUUUUAGGCACAAAAGGCUCCCCUCACCCUUCUUACACGGUACCGUUUUGUUUAAUAGGCUAUUUAAGCCUUCCUUUUCCCAUUCUCUUCUCCAAAGGCAGCCACUCAUCCCACUCAAAUGUACAGCCCCCAAAAUCAAAAUAUUAGGGUUCAUAUUCACAGCCAUGGAACCACCAUUUUAUUUGGUGGCUAUUGACGCAUGAACCACAACUAGACCUCACCAUCGAAGGCUCCACUCGAGGGAAUCUGGUAAGCCAAUUUAUUUUUCCUUUUUUUUUAAAAAAAUUUCCUAGAUCUGAUAUUGUUUGCUCAAGAAAAAUCAAACCGAAGUUGAGAACCUACAUAUUUAACAACAUCUGACCCUCACCCUUAUUUCAAUAUUUCAGAAAUAUUAGGGAUUUCAUUGGCGUCAUUUUGAGGCAUGAGGUCUAAUACUUUUUAGAUUUCCCUUCCAACUUCGAUCUCAACGAAGUGAAAUAGAGGUCUAAAGCCGAUUCACAAGGUAAAACUCGACUUCUUUUUAUUCUAAAAUGCAGAAUGAUGAAGGUAAUUGCAAGGAAAAAAAGAAAUAAAAAAAAUAAGGGAACAAAUUGAAAAAAAACCCGAAAAAUCACCCUUCAAGAAAUUCUUUUCGAAAAUUUUUGUACUCUUGUCUGCGUAUAGUGUGCUUGCGUAAGUAUCUGUUUUAUGUGCGUAAAAAAUUAUGGAUUACAUCACUGGCUUUUAUAUCCAUAUUUCCAAAAUAAAUAAAAUCUAAAAAAUCAUAUUUUCCUACUGUCAUUUGCUGUGAAAUCUGUUAUUGACUCCUUCUAGUGUCUUCUUUUGCAGUCUCAGUUGUACGGAGAAGAUGAUCCGGGGAUCUCGCGUGGAAAACCAUCCCUUUGGUAUUCUUCUAGUAUAUUCUAGGAGCUGCUGCUGAAAUUCUCCUUCUUUUGGGUUCUUUUGGGUUUAGGCUAGGAUAUGGAUUUAUUAGAGUUGGGUUUUAGGACAUGGGUUAUUUUUGUAUUUUGAAAAUUGUAAAUGGACCUUUUUUAGUCUUGGACCUUAUUCAUUUAUUUGGGUUUAUUUAUUUGCAUAUAAAUUAAAUGGGCCCGGGCAAAAUUGGUUGACUACACUUUCAUUCGUCAUUCAUAAUCAUACCACACAUAUAAAUGUUUCGAAUUCUUUUGAUUCUUUGUAUCUGCCUUCAUCUUCAUAACAGGUCCCCAGAUAUUAACGACACGAGUGACAUUGCUAGUGACUCAGAAUUUCCUUUCGAGUGAGAUGUGUGUAUGGAUGAUUCUCAGGAUUUUGAAGAUGACCAAGGCUGUAACCUAUCUCCUGAUUUGUUGAGGAUGGUAGAACAAGACGAGAAACAAAUCCUGUCUCACAAAGAAUCAGUUGAAAUCGUGAGCUUAGGAGAAGGAUAAAAGGUGAAGAUUGGAACAUGUAUCACUACGGAUAUGAAGCGAGACCUCAUUGAAUUACUUUAAGAAUUCAAAGAUGUCUUCGCAUGGUCAUACCAAGAUAUGCCCGGGUUGGACACUGACAUCGUGGUACACCGACUCCCCAUAAAGGAAGAAUGUAAGCCAGUUCAGCAAAAACUCCGAAGAAUGAUGCCCGAUGUCUUGUUAAAAAUAAAAGAAGAGGUUCGAAAGUAGUUCGACGCUGGAUUCUUGAAGAUGGUAAAAUACUCAGAUUGGGUAGCCAACAUCGUCCCCGUCCCUAAAAAAGAUGGAAAAGUGCGAAUGUGUGUGGACUAAAGAGAUUUGAACAAAGCCAGCCCGAAAGAUAAUUUCCCAUUGCCUCAUAUUAACACCCUAGUGGACAAUACGGAAGGACACUCACUAUUUUCAUUCAUGGACGGUUUUUUCGGAUAUAAUCAGAUCAAGAUAGAUCCUAAAGAUAUAGAGAAAACCACAUUUGUAACCAUGUGGGGCACGUUCUGCUACAAGGUGAUGCCAUUUGGACUGAAGAAUGCAGGGGCAACUUAUCAAAGAGCCAUGGUAACCAUUUUUCAUGACAUGAUGCAUAAGGAAAUCAAGGUUUAUGUCGAUGAUAUGAUCGCCAAGUCCCGAACAGAGGAGGAGCACAUACUAGUCCUGAGAAAAUUGUUCUUGAGGUUAAGGAAGUUUCAGCUAAAACUCAACCCCGCCAAAUGUACCUUUGGAGCCAAGUCUGGAAAGUUACUCGGAUUCGUGGUUAGUGAGAAAGGGAUCGAGAUCGAUCUAGACAAAGUUAAAGCCAUACAAGAGCUAUCCCCGCCGCGCACUCAGAAAGAAGUUCGAGGCUUUCUAGGAAGAUUAAAUUACAUCGCUCGGUUCAUUUCACAACUAACUGAGAAAUGUGACCCAGUUUUUCGCCUCCUCAAGAAACACAACCCAGGUGAAUGGGAUGAAGAAUGUCAAAAGGCUUUCAACAAGGUCAAACAGUACUUAUCCAACGCCCUGGUACUAAUGCCUCCUAACUCUGAUAAGCCGUUGAUACUGUAUUUGGCAGUAUUCGAGAACUCCAUGGGGUGCGUACUGGGUCAGCAUGACGAAUCGGGAAGGAAAGAAAAAGCUAUUUACUAUCUCAUCAAAAAGUUCACGGAAUAUGAGGCAAGGUACCCGCUGAUAGAGAAGUUGUGUUGUGCCCUAAUUUGGACAACCCGAAGACUGAGGCAGUAUAUGUUGUAUCACACCACUUGGCUCAUCUCAAAAUUGGACCCCUUAAAGUACAUGAUGGAGUCAACAACUUUGAAUAGAAGGAUGGCCCGAUGGCAGAUUCUGCUCUCUGAAUUCGACAUAGUUAAUGUGAAUCAGAAGGCAGUAAAAGGGAGUGCAAUAGCAGAUUUUCUGGCUAGUAGAGCUUUGGAAGACUACGAGCCUUUGAACUUCGACUUUCCGAAUGAAGACCUAAUGUGUGUUGCUACCAUUGAAGAAGGUGCUCUGGAAGAACUUCCUUGGAAACUAAACUUUGAUGGGGCAUCAAACGCCGUGGGUAAUGGAAUCGGGGCAGUCUUGGUAUCCUUAAAUGGAGAUCAUUAUCCAUUCACUAGUAAAUUGGAUUUUGAUUGUACGAAUAACAUGGCGAAAUACGAAGCGUGCAUCAUGGGUAUCCGCGCAGCCAUAGAUCGCAAGAUUAAAGUGCUAGAGGUGUUUGGGGAUUCUGCGCUAGUGAUUUAUCAACUUAAGAGAGAAUGGGAGACCAGAGACCCCAAGUUAAUCGAUUAUCGGAAGCUGGUCCUUGAAUUGGUUAAAGAGUUUGAUGACAUUACCUUCCACUACCUUCCACGAAACGAAAAUCAGAUGGCUGAUGCUUUGGCUACCCUAGCCUCCAUGAUCAAGGUGAACAAACAAGAAAAUGUCAAACCCAUCCGGAUGAGCAUUUAUGAAGUUCCGGCCCACUGUUACAAUAUUAAAGAAGACGAAGAGAAAGAUGAUCACCCUUGGUAUCACGAUAUAUUACAAUACGUGAAGAAUCGUGAGUACCCGGACCAGGCAAGCGAGAGUGACAAAAGAACGCUAAGAAUAUUGGCCAUCGACUAUGUCUUAGAUGGGGAUAUCUUGUACAAAAGAAGAAAGGAUCAAGUGCUACUAAGAUGUGUAGACGCUGUAGAGGCUAAGAAAAUCUUGGAAGAAGUCCAUGAAGGUGUCUGUGGGUCACACGCUGAUGGCUUUACAAUGGCCAGGCAAAUUAUGAGAUUCGGGUACUAUUGGUCCACCAUGGAAGGAGACUGUGUCAAUUAUGCCAUGAGAUGCCAUAAAUGUCAAAUCUACGGAGACAAAAUUCAUGUGCCUCCUUCACCGCUGCAUGUUAUGGUUUCUCCAUGGCCAUUCUCUAUGUGGGGCAUGGAUGUAAUUAGACCAAUAUCGCCGAAAGCUUUCAAUGGGCAUCGGUUCAUCUUUGUGGUUAUCGACUACUUCACCAAAUGGGUAGAAACCGCUUCGUAUGCUAGUGUUACAAAGUCAGCAAUGAGCAGGUUCCUGAAAAAAGAGAUCAUAUGUCGAUAUGGAAUGCCGGAGAGGAUCAUAUCUAACAAUGCAUUAAACCUAAACAAUAGUACGAUAGUAGAAGUCUGCAGUCAAUUCAAGAUCAGACAUCACAACUCGUCACCGUAUCGCCCGAAGAUGAAUGGGGUAGUGGAAACAGCCAAUAAAAAUAUUAAGAAGAUUGUCGGGAAGAUGACCGAGACCUACAAAGAUUGGCAUGAGAAAUUACCGUUUGCCCUCUUUGCUUAUCGAAUGUCAGUCAGAACCUCAACCGGGGCAACCCCUUUCUCUUUGGUCUACGGAAUGGAAGCGGUGUUGCCAAUCGAAGUCGAGAUUCCAUCCCUCCGAGUGUUGUCAGAACUAAGGUUGGACGAAGCAGAGUGGGUCCAGUCUCGAUAUGACCAAUUGAACUUGAUCAAGGAAAAAAGGCUAAAAGCUAUUCGUCAUGGUCAGAUGUACCAGAAACGAAUGAUGCGGGCUUAUGACAAAAAUGUUCGCCCUAGAGAAUUCCACGAGGGAGACCUAGUUUUGAAAAAUAUCCUUCCCAUACAUAAGGAUUUUUGAGGGAAAUGGAUGCCUAAUUGGGAAGGGCUUUACGUGGUGAAGAAAGCUUUCUCCGGAGGAGCAUUGAUUCUAGCCGAGAUGGACGGUAAAAACUUGCCCAAUCUUGUAAAUUCAGAUUCGGUCAAGAAGUAUUUUACCUGAAGAAAGAGAGGCCAGAGUGAAAACCCACAAAGGGCGCUCUAAAAAAAUAGAAAAACGGAGAGGUCAAGGUGAAAACUCGCAAAGAGCACUUUGGAACCAAAAGAGUUUUUUUUAGUUGAAAACCCGAGAACGGGCAGCUCAAGUUUUGGAUAUGGGGCAUAUGGUAGUCUUGUCCCCCCGAAAUCAGCAAUACAGAAGAAUAUUACACCUUGGAGCAUCAACAAAAGACGCGGGAUCUCCUGAACACACAUUUGGUUCGAAGGAGCCUUUGAGAAAUUAGAAUAAUGAAACUCGUGUUGCGAUAUCUGGGGCGCCUUUUUCUCAUUUUUUUGCACCUUAUCAGAUUCGUUAUCCUAUGUAUUCACAUCAAAUUUUUGCUUAAUAAAAUUCUAUUUGUCCAUUAUGAUAAUCUCUUUCAAGCAUUCUUGUUGAAAUCGCGAUUUUUGAACAUGUAAUAUUUACACAAAAGAUGUUAUGCAUAUUACUCUGGAAAGUCUUUAAAUAGUACAAGAACCUGAAACAGGGCCACUAGUCAGGACUAACCAGGUUCAAAGGCAGAAGUAUUGGAAAAAGAGUAGUCUAAAUUAGGACUAUUUCUUCAAAUUUCCGUCAGAGAUAACGGCUAAGCAAGAAGACGUGAUAGCACAUCAAUGAUAGAACCCGGACGAAUUAUGAGCAAUGACACCUUAAGUGUUUAAAAAGGAAUCACGCUCAUGACAUUUCUACAUUCAUAAUCAGUCAUUUAGUUAGGAGCACUUGAUCCAUUUCGAUCAUAGCAUUCUAAUUAUUUAACAUAAACACCACAUCUAGUUAGGGACAUUUGAUUCAUCUCGAUCAUAGCACCCUAGUUAUUUGACAUACACAGAUACAGGAAACCAAUUCUACACAUCAUGUCUUUAGAAGACAGUGUAGCGACAUUGGCGAAUCCUGCAGAUUUGGUAUCUCUGUAUUGGCGGAGAGCAGAUCAAAGAUAGUAGAUUUGGCAUCUCUGUAUCGACAGGGAGCAGAUCGAAGAUAGCAGAUUUGGCGUCUCUGUAUUGGCAGAGAGCAGAUUAAAGAUAGCGUAUUUGGCGUCUCUGUAUUGGCGGAGAGCAGAUCGAAGAUAGCAGAUUUGGCGUCUCUAUUUCGGCAGAGAGCAGAUCAAGGAUAGCAGAUUUGGUAUCUCUGUAUUGGCGGAGAGCAGAUCGAAGAUAGCAGAUUUGACGUCUCUGUAUUGGCGGAGAGCAGAUCGAGGAUAGCAGAUUUGGCGUCUCUCUAUUGGCAGAGAGCAGAUCGAAGAUAGCAGAUUUGGCAUCUCUGUGUUGACAUAGAACAGAUCGAAGAUAGCAGAUUUGGCGUCUCUGUAUUGGCAGAGAGCAGAUCGAAAAUAGCAGAUUUGGCAUCUCUGUGUUGACAGAGAGUAGAUCGAAGAUAACAGAUUUGGCAUCUCUGUAUGGGCAGAGAGCAGAUCAAAAAUAACAGAUUGGUGUUCCCGUGUUCUCAAGAAACCAGUUGAGGAUAGCCAAUUUGACACUCCUGAAGACAUCAGAAGACCUUGAGGAAGAUAAGGAUCAAGAUUUUGAGAUUUAGCCAGACUGGGCAAAUUUGGUCCUUUUUAUAGUCUUUGCUUUAUUCUCAUUACACGAUAAUGAACAAAGAGGGACAGCUGUAGUGGGCCAAAUUUGCCCGACCCAAAUAGAUACCAAAUAAUUAAACCAAAAAACAAUGAUAAGUGUAAAACCCAAAUAAAAAUUUAAUGUCCUAUUACAGUCCAAAUUAUUACAAUAUUCCACAGUCCAAAUUACAUGACCCAAAUUUAAAACCUAAACCAAAUACAAUGGCCCAUUAACCAUGACACAAAAUAGGCCCAAUAAGCCCAAUGUUUAAACCGAGAAACCCUAGAAGCUUUCCACUUGCGCCGUAGCAGCCCCCCCAACCUCCAGGUUCCGUACAACGCCUCCAGCAACCACGUCAACAGCCCUCGUACGCCAACACAGUCUCCGUACGAUGCCAACGCAUCCCGUACCUGCAAGAAGGACAAACACAACGACAAAUACAAACAAAAAUGGCAGAACAGCAAAUAGAAGGGAACGAAAAUUGUAUUUGGAAUUUAUUUUUCCUUUUUCUUUUUUCUUUUCGGCUAUAAAAUCUAAGCUGCGAAUCAGUUGUAAAAAAGGAAUAUACACAUAUUGAAUGCAAAGAGCAGAGGUGAUUUCAUACUUUUCUUUCCGAUUUUUUUAUUUUCUUCUUAGUUUACUCAUUGUUAAUGCAUACAACUAAAAACCGAUGAAAGCCAUAAAUAUUUUUGCUAUGCGGAUAUAAUGGCGAGAGGUCAAGUAGCAGUAUUUACUUUACAAAUUUGUUUCCAUUUUUUUAAAAAAAAAUAAUAACGUGAGAUUCGAGCAUUUCAUUCAAACAAAGAAGGAGAGGAGAAAGAUACUUACUAAACCCUUUUAAAACUUGUUCAAGUGUCUUCAACGAGGAAAGCGGGUGCUUUUUGCAUGCAGAUGGUCACCAAAAUAAUGGUGAUUCGGCUGCUAAAUAGAAACCCAAGAAACUUAGUUCCCAGGCUGUGUUUUUCAGCUACAAGUGGGGCUGUGUUUUAGGGAAGAAGCAGAAAAAAAAUGGUCUUAAAUGACCUAAUUUUGAAACGGUGCCGUGUCAUAAAGGGAGGGGUCCACGCCUCUACCCGAUUGGAGACCCGACUCCACCCUUGUGCGCCUAAAUUGGGUUAUUUAGGUAGCAGACCCCUCCCCUUUCGCGCCACAUUUAAAUCAGCCCACGUUCUUGUCUUGUUUGUUUUUUAAAUUUGGCCCUGUAACUUACAUCCGUUUGCAAUCCAACCCGCUCCUAAAUGCAACAUUUUGGGAUCUGGUAUAUUAUCAGUUUUAGUCCCUAGAUGUUUUUGCGCGUUGGAUGUUGGUCCUCUUAUCAUUACUAUUUUAUUUUUUAAUUACCCCAUGUAUUUUAGUUUAAUUUUAAUCGAGUCCUUUCAUCUUAUACCUCUUUUUAUUUUAUUUUAUUUGUACAUUUUAAUUAAUCUUGAUAAUUGCUUCUUCAUUCUUGUAGAUUCGUUUUUGUUGUAAUAUUAUGAUCGUAUUUCGCACUCUUUAAAUAUUUAUUUCUUUUAUAUUAUUAUACAUAUACAUAUUGUUAUAACAAAGUUAAUGUAUUUGCAUGUAUAUAAUGAUUCUUGGCUCUGUUCAUGUAUUUUGGAAUAUAUAUUUUUAUUAUUCUAACAUGUUUUGUACAUAUAUUUUAUGUAAAGUUUAAAUUAUUUUUAUACUUAUUUAUAUUAAUAUACAUAUUAUAUAUAUAUUUCUAAACCUAUACAUUUUACAUUUACAUUUUCUUUACACAAAAGCGUGUUUUUUUUAAUCUAUUGUUUAAUUUAUUAUAAAAUUAAUUUAGCCCUAUGAAUAUUAUCUUUUCUAUGUAAUUUUACAUGUAAUUAUUUUCAAAAGUUAUAUAUACAUAUUGAUAUUAUUACUUUAAUAGGUUUUCCUACUUACAACAUUUUUGCGAUAUGAGUUAUCAAGUAUUUUCUUUAUGUAUGUAUAUGGAAAAAUUUUAGAAACCUCAUUUUUUUUUUGCAAUCACAAAAUUAUUAUUUUUGGAUGUUCCUUUGUAUUAAAUUACUUUGUGUUUUAUAUAGUCCCUUAUUUAAACGUUUUGAUAUAAACGCAUGUAUAUACUUUUUAGACUAAGUUAAAGUUUUUUAUUAAUCUAAUAAUUAUUUUUAAAGCUAUCUAUAUGUACAUAUGUUUUAUGAACGUACUUUGUGUAUUAUAUUUUCGCCAUAUGUCUUCAUUAUUCCUUUUUAUAUUAGACAUAUUAUUUAAAAUCGUCAUGUAGUUUGUCAACUUUAAAAUAUGUUUGUGUUUAAAAUUUUUUACUUGCAACUUGAUUCAAAUUUCCAUUCUUUAAUAUCCAUUUCAAAAUAUAUACACAUAUCCCUAUUUUUUUAAGCUUGUCAACCUAUAUAUAUAUAUCUAGCUUAUUAAUCUUAUACCAUUUUGAUUUCUACAUUUCAUUUGCUUCACGCAUAUCUUGCUGUUUUCUUUAUAUCUUAUGGCAUGAAUAUAUAUAAUCAUUGCAUGGUAUUUGUCUUAAUAAUUUGUUAAUUGUUCUUCGUAUGCGAUUGAGAUUUGAUUAUGAUCUUUAGAUUAAUUAUAUUUAAUUGCAUAUUCUGCUAGUCGAUUAAUAUUAUUAUCCAUCAAGCAUCGUACCAUCAUACGUGCCUUUACCCUAUAUCAUCGUUUCACUUAAUUUUUGAAAUGUGGUUCUAUAAAACCCAAAUUUUAUGAUUAAUUUCAUCUUAUUUCAAAUCGAGUUAAUAUGUCUUAAGCUAGCUUUAUAAUCAUUCAAAAAUUCUUCAAAACGAAGACGAGAUUCGAUAUUUAGCAAUUCGCGGAAUCGUGCCCUAACGUGUUGGGUUGCAAUUUCGUGUUUGCUCGAAAUAAUCGAAUAUCACUUCAAAAUUUCACUCAUGUCUUUUAAAAUUCUUCAAAACAAAGACGAGAUUCGAUAUUUAGCAAUUCGCGGAAUCGUGCCCUAACAUGUUGGGUUGCAAUUUCAUGUUUGCUCAAAGUAACCGAGUAUCCCUUCAAAAUUUCCUUUCAUAUCUUCUAAAAAUAAUUUAAAACGAAGGCAAUAUUUGGCGUUUGACAAUUCGAGAAUCAUGCCCUAUUGUACUGGGUUGUGAUUUCUUGUUUGCUCAAAACGAUUGAACAUUCCUUUACAUUCUCACUCAUGUUUAUAAGAAAAUACUUAAAAACGAAGGCGAUGUUCAAUAUUUCGCGAUUUGAGAAUUGUGCCCUAUCGUGCUGGGUUGCGCUUUUUCAUUGGUUCGAAACAAUUGAACAUCCCUUUGGAAUUUCACUCACAUUUCCUAAAAUCUUUCAAAAUGAAGGCGAUGUUCGAUGUUUGGCGAUUUGAGAAUCGAGCCCUAUCGUGUUGGGUUGCGCUUUCUUAUUUGUCCAAAAUAAUCGAAUAUCUCCUCGAAAUUUCACACGUAUUUUAUAAGGUAAGGCAAUAGUCAAUGUUUUGAAAUUCAAGGAAUCGUGCCCUACUAUGCUAGGUUUCGGUUUUUCGUUGGACUAAAUAGUUGAGCAUCCUUUUGUGAUUUUCGAAUAAUAAAUUUUCGGACGUCGAAACAAGAAGAUUUUUGAUAAUCAACUCGGGUUACUAAAAAAAGAACCACAUUUCAAAAACAUCUUUAAAUUUUAGACACAAGGACAGUAUUUAAUCGAUUCGGUACCAAUUGUGGGCGUAGUGAGGGUGUUAAUCCUUCCUCAUACGUAAUCGACUCCCGAACCCGUUUUCUCAAAAGUUCAUUGACCAAAAUCAUUGUUUUAGAAAACUAAAAUGUUUUAUUAAAAUAACCAAAUUCUUAGGUGAUCCGAUCGCACCAAAACAAAAGGAUCGGUGGCAACUCCAUAUUUCUAUUUUCCAAAAAGUCGAUUCCCCUUUUUUUAUUAAAUUUAAAAUUUUUAAAAUCGAAGGAUGGUUUCGAAAAUAACGUAUGAUAUUGAUUUGGUAUAUAAAAUAUUUUUAUAGACCAAGAAUUGGACCAAAUUCAUGCUAAUAGGGGAAAAGCAAAAAUUAUGGAUUAGCCCCUGAAGAAAUCUACUUGUUUUGUGUUUUGAAAAGGUAAGUUCAUAUGGAACUUACUACCUUUCCUUGUGUUAUAUGUAUGCUUGUGUUUACUUUAUUAUGAUUAGGUUUGAACAUAAAUUGAAAUAUUGAUGAAUUUAACAUAUAAGGCUAACAAAGGGAUUGAAUUGAAAUGAAAUGUGAUAAUUGAUUGUUAUGCGAGAGUACAGAGUAUAAAUGUGAAAAUAUGAAUGAUUAAAGGGUAUGGAAAUGAAAACUUGACCGAUUAUAGGGUAUGAUAUGCAAAUGUGAAUGAUACAGGGUAUGAAAAUGUAAUAGUAUGAUAGAUGCCUAUGUGAACAUAGUAAAAGGUUAGGAUACAAUUGGCAUGCCAAUAGGGUCAUAUGCACGCUUGUACAGGAUAUGUUAUGAUACGAAGAUUAUGACAAGUUAUAUCGAGAUCUAGCAUCUAUUAGAGAUUAUCGUGUAAUAUUUGUCUCUAUGGAGACUUUGGUGUGGUGGAGGGGUGUAAUUGAAAAUGUUUACACAUUUGAUGCUUACGAGUUUCUCACUUCGUUACCUUGGUAUAGUGUGUAGUUCACUCGUGUAUCCAAGUCCAUUUUAUUAGGGUUCCAUUGGGCUAAACAUUGAAAUUUAAUGUUGAAAUUGGAAAAAUGAAAUGAACAAAAUUUGAUAUGGUAUUUUGAUAUGUAACUAAUCUGUUUUAAUUCGAUGUAGCAGAUUAAAUAGUUUCUGCACUUUAGUUGCUUGAACACAAUCAUUUUGGUUUCAUUUCAAUAACAUUCUCACAGUUUUAGUUACAUUAAAUAAAGUACGUAAUUUGAGUAUUUUAUUGACCUUAGGGGUCGAAUGAGGCUUAAGGGUGAGCUAAUAUACUUUGUGAGCGUGCAGUAGACUAUUGGAAGGCAUACUAACUCGAUUCUAGUCGCUGUGUUGCAACACGGAGAGCUAGAGGUUGCAACAUAGAGAAAAAAAAGAAGAAUUUCAAGAUUGCCUUCAAUGUUGUGACACAGCCUGAUGAUGUCACGACACACCUUUGAAGACACCUUGAAAAUGAAGCAUACUUCCCUCAAUGUCGCAACACAGGACUUGGUGCGUUGCGAAAUCUCCUCUAUACGGGAGAUAAUUACAAGUCAAGGGCAUUCUGGUCCGCACAAUCAAACAUUAAGCACGAGGGCGGAAGCUGACCUAGGGUUAAGGACGAUGACCACUCUAAAUAAGCUUAACUAACAAAUGUUAUAGACAACUUUUAGAUUGAUAAUUUUAUUCCUAGUUUUAGUCUUUAGUUUUCUCUUUUCAUAUGCUUUAGGUUUAUUUUAGGCUUUCUUCUUUUCUUUGUGGAAGAAAUCAAAUUUGUUAAACGUGAUCAAACUCUGUAAGGAUUCUGCAUUCAAUUCUAAAACAAAUCAGACUUCUUCUAAACUUUAGACUCUUGAAUUAUUAUUCAUGUUUAUUAUUUCUAUCAAGUUUAUAUUUUUAUGAGAUCCAUGAGGAACUAAUCCUCCUGUGGGGGAUUAGCGAGUAGAGGUAUGAUUAAUUAAUUAUUCUGUAAGGUUCUCUUAAUGGAUCAUGUAUUCAAGAAAGGAAGAUUUUAAACCCUAAGACUGACAAUCCUAGGAAGUCAUGAAGGUGAGAAUCAACCCAAAAUUGAUAUGGCCUAUCCGUGAAUACCUUAACCCUGAACCGGUCUGGACUUUGAGGUUAAAAGACAAGUAGUUCUUGCCUACUUGUUAUUCUAGUAGAAGAUCAGAAGAUCCUGCUAGGAUAUUGACUAGUUGAUUGAACAAGAAAACCUGAAGUGAUAAUUGAUUAUGACUACUAAAGCAAGCUAAUCACCCAUGCUCAGAUUUGAUACAUUUACUAUUUGCUUUCUCAUUAUUUCUUUAUUUCUUUUCAUUUUAUUUCUAUCAUUAUUAAGAAUCAUAAAAACCUUUCUUUUUUAUCUGGUUGUAAUAUAAUUCAUUUAAAAGUAUUAAUUAGAUUUAUUUAUGCUUAGGUAGGAUUAAUUUAGUGUUCACGUCCCUUAGGUACGAUCAUCGGAGUGCUCAUCUACUCCAUUGUAAAUAUAUUACAACUUGACUCGUAUACUUGAGGAUACCGCUUUUUUCAAAUAUUUUGUGCAAGGUUUCUACUCUGGAUGUUGGUACAUCUAGAGGUGGUCAAGUUGUUGACGUUGUUGCCGGGGAGGCAACGUCACUAGAUAAAUUUUGAUUUUUGUAUUCUAAUAGAAUAAUUAGGAAAUAUCUAAAUUAUAUAUACGACCUUUAUUUUAUUUCUAUUUACUUAUUUGUUUAACAUUACUGACACUUCUUUAUUCUUCAAGAAGUCUCGGUACAUCCCUUUGCAAAGAAAACAAAACUACCGCAGUAACUAUUGAAAUUAGAUUAGAAAACACCAUGGACAACUUCGAUUAUAGAUGGUCAGAUGAUGAGAUAGAUUAUGAUGAUGACAUUUAUGAAUAAGAAGUCUAUGAAAAGCGAGAGAUUUAAGAGAGUCGGAGACUAUUAAUGCUGGAAUUGUGUCAACUGAGAGGUGAAACUCAUGCAAAUCUACGGGAGUGUCACAUAAGUGCAAAAAUAAAACCCAUUGUUUCCCAAUAUGAGCAACCUCAAAAUAUGGAUGAAGAGGAAAACCUAAUAACCCAAUUACCUUGGGAAAAUCUAAAUAGUCAAGCACUUCUGAGUCCAGAAGAUAAUCAAGGUGAGCUAGGGUAAAUAACAUCACAAGAGGAUAUUCAAAAAAAGACUAAGCCCAACGAAGAAAUAACGACCAAAUGCAAUAAUGAAUUAAGAGUUAGAGUCAUUCCUUUAGAAAUUUCUAGGUUAUCAGGCUGGGGAAAUGAGCAAGAUUAGAACAUAGUGGAGGAUAUCGGAAUUGUGAACGUUCUCAAAUCACUAGAGAAGAUAGUCUCUCCUAACAAAUCUAUAAAGGAGUGUUUGAAGCUUCAGGAAUUAGUAAAUGGUAACAAGGUCAAAUAUGAAAUUUGUAUGGAGGAUACAUUUAAUCCAAAUAUAUUCUGUAGAGUAUUAAUUUUCAAUCAAACACCACAAAAUUUUAGCAAAUUAAAGGGUCUCAAGAUGUUAAUGAAUAUAGAGAUAAGACGCUUUGGCGAAAACUUAUAUGAUUCCGGGAUUGACACUAUAUAGCUAAUACUACCCAACAAUAUUGAUAUAAGGUUACAAGGGUUAAGAACCACUCAUCUUUUACUAAAGCCACCUGAUGAAACUGCAAUUCAACUUAUAAAGGAGUCUAAAAGAGUGUGAAAUAAGCAAUGUAGUUACAUGAUACCCAACCAAUAGCCUCAUAAUCAAAACUUUUGAGGUAAAAUUCGAACAACCAAUUCUAUUGAAUAAGUUCUUGGUGGACCUCAUCCAAAUUAUGCAUAAGUGUGAAGGAAAGGAAAUAAAAAUGAAAAAUGAAAAAGAUUUCAAAAUCAUUUUUUAAAAUCGGGAAUAUAAAAAGUAUUUAAGGUUGUUAAAUAGUCACCUGGUAUUAAGUAUAAUUAAUCGUUUCGAAUUGUGAAAAGAGUUUUCAGUAGUCAAUAUAGGGUGAAAGAGAAAACUCAAAGAGCAUAAUAAAUGAAGAGGAGAAGAAUGACAUGAUGGAUGUUGGAUGAACACUGAUAGAAAAGGAAUAGGAAAAGCAUCUACGGGCACACUGAUUAAGUUGACAAAUGAAUCUGACAGGAAAACUUAACAAUUUUUUUAAACCUUAAUUUUUAUGUAUAUUAUUGUACAUUUAACUAACCAUUUAGUUUAAACUUUAACUUGUAUCAAAUUUGUGGGUGGAUUUGGAUGGGUAGUGCGUUUAGCUGCGAUUAGUGUAAAAACAGCGGUGGCGGUGAGAUUAUAUAUUGUAGUGAUACUGUAGCGUAAGACAAAAAGUAAGCUAAACACACUACACCGCACCCAAUCACCCAUCUAAACCCACCUUGUGUUUUACAAGAAUCUGAGACACUCUGAAAAAUGGAAUUUUGGGUGAAAAUAAAGUCAAUGUCACAACACAAUACCCAUGUGUGGCGAUACCAUGUCCAGAAUUAGAAGAUUGAGAAAAUCACCUCGAUGUCACGACACAAACACUUAUUGCGACACAAAACAUAAUAAACCUAUAAUUUCAAAAAUUCAGAGUAUGUCGCGACACCGAACCAUAAUGUCACGACAAUGGCAAAUUGCCAAAGAUGUCGCAACACGGAACCCCUGUGCCGCGACAUCAUUACAACUUUCUGCAGGGUUGCCCCAACCUAAUUUGCUUAACUUGGUGAAUUAGCCUUUAUUUUAUCCAAUUUGUAACCUUAAAAUUAUUAUAUUUAACCUUAAAAACACCUUAAAUUCACAUUCUAACCUUUCUUAAAAUUCUACACCUCUCAAAGUUCUCUCAAGUCCCAACACUCCCUUUUAAUCAAAACCUUAAAUCCCCAAAACCUUUAUUGUCGAUUUUCAAAGCUUUAUUUGGGUGAAAAGUCAUUAACCACUAGGACAAGAAGCAACAAAAAGAUUGCAAAGAAAUUAAGGUUAAGUAUCCCUUUACUAUUUUACUGUUUUAUCUAUUAUUGUUCAAUUUUAUUUUAUUAUUGUAGAACUGAGUAUUAGAGAAUGUCGCCUAAAAAAAGUAGGAAAUCUUUAGUCCAAGAAAAUCCGAUGGUUUUGGACCCUAAAAAAUUCUAGAACCCAAAUGUCGAGAAAUAUUUUCUCAAACUACAGGUACAACCACUUAUACAAAAAUGACAAUUCAAACCCUCAAUAGUUCUAUGCAAAGAAAUUUGGACAUUAGUCAAGAAUCAUCGAUGGGAGCGAUUCUAUGUCACUACUGAGGAAAAUGUAGUUGUACCAGUGGUACAAGAAUUGUAUGCCUCCUUUCGAGAUCAAGAAAUGAGAAAAAGGUAAGGUGAAAGUUGGGAUACUAUAACGGUGAUAGGAGAAGAAGUACUAUUACCCUUAGAGAAAUUUGUGAGUUUUACGAUAUCCCUUAUUAUGGCAAAGACUUCAUUGAUAACAUUGAUUUGAAUACAUUUUGAGGACAUAAAGAUGGAAGAUGUCGUUUAUUAUUUAAUUCAGGGUAGGGGUACAUGGAAUUAUAUGUUAGAUACUACCUUGCCUAGUGAAAUUGUGGAUGCAGUUCAUAUAUACUAAAAUUGCGUCCGCAUUAAAUGUCUCUAACAUUAAUACUUUUCAAGCUAUUCUUUUGCAUGGUAUUUUGCAGUGCAAGCAAAUAUGUGUGGGCAAGUGGAUUUAUCGUGAGAUGAAACAUUGUGCGAAUAGCCAAAAAGUCGAGCUUUUCUUGCCUUACCUCGUGACAGUACUGUGUCAAAAAGUAGAGGUUCCAAUGGGAGAGAAUGAGAAGUUCAUGAAGACAAAAAAUAACAUAAUUGGAGACUCAUUAUAUACAUAAUACAUUGAGCUUCAGAGGAAACAGAAUAUUGAUUGGAACCAAAGGAGGAAAGAAAAUAUGAUGUUCCUGUGUAACUUAAACAGAAAAAAUAAUCAUAAUCUAGGAAAGGGGCACGUGGAAACAUUGAAGAAAAACUUGAUGGAAUGAUUAUGUGGACGUAGAAAAUGGGCCAGUACUUUAAGAAUUCACCCGACUAAACAGGUUGAGAGCUCCAAACUAACCGCCAACUAUGUUCAGCCCAAUACGGACCCAUUAUAGCAUCGAAGGAGAGGAGGUGACUUAAAAGGAUGAGAGUGAGGGGGAUGAACACGAUUUCCUGAUAGAUGAAGACUACUAUGAGGUGACGUUCUAACCUCAAUACACCACACCAAAAAGGCCCAUCAUUCGAAGCCCAACCCGACAUGUACCUUUGACGGGAGGGACUUCCCAUCACAAAUAUGGCUCGAGAAAGAAACAAGAACCAAUAGAAAUGAGGCAUUUGCCUAGUGUUGAUGAUUCAAAGGAAGAUUAAAACUGAACUUUUAUUUUUUUUUUCUUUUGGGAUUGUAUUAAUUUUUGAAUAAUUUUUAAAUUUUAAAUUGUUAGGAGUAGGAGUAAUUGUAUAUUAUUAGUUUUUUGGUGUUUUGUUUAAAAUUUCUACUUAGAAACCCCACAUAACAAAGGCACAACAAUUUUAAGCUUUCAACAAUCGAAGGAGGAAGCACUCACCAAUAGCCCACGAAACCAUCAUGGUCAAUCGGGUAACUUCUUUCAUUAUCUUUUCAGGGGCUACACAUUGAGGACAAUUUAUUUUCUAAAGUGUAGGGGGUAACGUAUAAAAAUUGUUUAAUUGUUACCCUUUUCUUUGAUUUUUCUUGUUAAUUGUGUGCUUGGGCUUAUAGAAAUACAAGUGAUUGGUUAGGAGCAUGUACAUAGGUUGAUUGUAUUUACAAUAAAUUUAGCAUGAGGAUAGGUGAUUUUAAAUUCUUUAUUGUUAGACUAUUAAGUUCUAUAUAUUACACUAUAAAUAGGCAUUAAGUAAUUGAAUGUACCAAAUGAUAUAGAGAAUACAAGGAAAUGAUCAUGUUAGUAUAAAUGAUAAAUUUUUGAAUUUGUGAUUGUUUGGUUGAUUAAAUUUUUGAAUAUUGAGAUACCUGGGGAUGAUCUAAGGCAUUAUUUGGUAUACACACACAGCCAAAAAGCUAACCUUAUUUAUUCAUCCUUAGUACCUAUUUUGAGCCAAGAAACACUUCUUAUAACACCCCCAAACCUGGCCUGGACGAUACGGCCAAAUCUGGCGAUGUCACAUUGAAGUGUUUUUCGUAAAGUGUUAUAUUGAUAAAAACUCUUAAUAUAUAUUUAACCUCUUUGUGUUUUUCUGAGUUAUGUCAUUCAUUUGAAAACUUGCGCCACUAUCCAAAAAGUAUUUACUUUAAAGUCGGUAUUCAUUUCCAAAAAUGUCAUUUUAUAGUGGAAGCUUUUUAAAAUAGUUACGCACUUGCGUUUACUUUGUAAAAAACAUUGUUUCUUUUGAAAACUCGAGUUUUCCUAUCUCUAGCAGUUUUAAGCCAAAGCAAAUAAAAACCCAAAUUUAAGUUAAAAUCCAUAGAGGCCUUAUUAUAGUAAAAAUACCCAAAUUAAAAUUACUUAUAAAAAUUAAACAAAUAUGAUAGUAAAUGUGGUUGUGUGGCCGCCUUUGAGUCCCUCGCAGCACCAAUCCACCUAGGCCUGGGGAUUACUUGUACAGAUAAACAGAUGGGUAAGUUUACGAAAACUCAGUGUGUAAUCCCAUAUAAGCAAAUAGUCAAAAAACAAACACAGUUUGGGCCUAAGCCCUUUUUGGUAACAGUGACAAUAGCAGUUUGGGCUUUAGCCCAUCUCAAUACAAAAACAGUCAUGUGUUUGGGCCUUGGCCUAUUGCAGUAACAGUAAACAGUGCAAUAACAGCAAACAGUGCUGUAACAGUAAGCAGUAUGCAAGUCCUACCCAUCUAGCCUCUACACUCCAUCUCUGUCCAACCCUACACUCCAUGUGAGGAUAUAAUCAACUCACCCAUCCCUACACUCUAGAAUUAGUACUAGUUGCGGCACUAAACAGUAAUAUGCAGCUGGGCUGCCAGUAAUUUAGGCUUGAAGCCUUUCAGUACACUUUCUCUGAUCAGUAUAAACCUAUCCCCAUGUAAUGCAUCAUACAGUCAUGUCAUGUCAUAUCAUAGAAUCAUACAUGUAUCCCUUACAGUUUAAAUAACAUGCAAAAAUACGAUCAUAAAUUCACAUAUAUAUAUACACCACAUAGGGCAAAACAAUCAUUUUACCACACAAAGGCAAAACAGUCAUUUAUCAAUUUGGAGUCUAGGUAUACUUACCGACCCAAUAGUAGGUCCACGGUCAUCUCGGGUGACCUGUACAACCUUAACAAUCAAAUAGUACAAAUGGGCCCAAGGCCCAUAAUGUUGGCCCAUGUGGGCCCACAUAGGCUAGAAAUAGCCUUAGCCGUGUGGAUACAUAGCCUGGCCCAAUAUUCUCCACAGGUCCAUGCGAUUUUACCCGUGUGAGGCCCACAAGCCCAUGGGGCCCAUACAGCUUAGUUUGGCCUAAAAUGGCCCAAAACGGCCUAAGCCCAUGAAAUCGCUCAUUGUGGCCUCAACAAUUUUAUGCCCAUGUUUAGGCAUACGGACUACCACAUGAGAGAGCGCACGCUCAUGUAGCGUCAACGGUCACCUAUUUUGACUUUUGUCAAUUUACGAUUAUGGCAGUGUUGUUACACACCUGAAUCAAUUUUGAUGUCAAAACUCCAUAAGCCCGAAUACCUAUCAAACGUUAUUCAAAACCGAUUAGAAGAUUAACUUACAGUCUCAAUAAUAUUUACUAGUAUUAACUUGACCUACCUCCAAAACGACCCUUCACUAAUGCCGUUAAGCCAAGAACCACGAUCACCCAAGAACCUUCCUUAGCCAGAAAUACCACUUAGUCAGUUAAACAAAACGCGCAACCAAACCGGAAUACUAAAUACACGUCACAUUACCUUUGAUCAUGAAAAGAGGGGAGUUUCGUCCACCCUAACGCUAGUUAAAGAUCUUCCACCCUUCGAAUAGUCCCUAAACACCAACCAAAAUAGGUGAGCAUUCACUCAUCAAUAAAUAGAUUUUACUAUAUUCUUACACUUACCAACAACGCGAGAAACGAACCAAUUACGAGGUGCAAGACUUGACCGCAAGAAGAAGAUGCUCACCAGGAAACAAAGAAGGAACCACCGCCGGCUCUAAGAGAAAGAGAAUGUUCAACGUCAAAGAAAAGAAAGGAAAUGAUGAAAAUAGGGAAACAUUUGGCCAAGGGAAACCAAAGUGGAGAACGUUUGCUCACUACACCGAAAGAGCAGAAGAAACCAAACAGAUAUUCGAUAUUGAGGGAGGAAGAAACGUUAGUUGUAGAAAAGGGGUAAAGCCAAAAGAACAAUGUUCUAGCCGAAACACAGACCACAGAGAUUUCAGCCAAAAAGGGGGAAGCAAAAAGAGGGACGGCAAUUAGAGAGGCAGAGAGAGAAAAAAAUAAUUAAAAACAAAAUUGUGGAAAAAUAUGAGAGAAACUAAAUUUGAUUAUGCUCACAAAAAAUCAAAUAACUCUUCUAUUAUUCUCUCUUAAAAUUUUGCCGCUAAAUCCCCACACUUCAAAAUCCCUUAAAACUCUCCUAAAAUCCUUCCUCAAAUUCAUCCAACUGAUCACACCUCCCCACAACCACUCAAUUUAAAUUCCCUUCAACCACUUCUAUGUUUCAGCUAACCCACAACACUCUCACAGUACGGCAGUAAAAUAAAACGCUCAACUACUCAAAGUAGGACUCAAACCUCAGUCCCCAAGCAACAUCAACACGCCUUGGACCAGCAGGCCUAUUCUAUCAUGCUUUACCCAAAUUUAUUUUAAAAGCCUACUGAUUAGAGACAGGGUUUAUUCUUUAAAGAAAAAACUUUUGCACAAGCCAAGGCUUGAACCCAAGACUUCUCAGACUCUUCCCAGAACACAUAACCACUGAAGUAGAUACACAGUUGUGUCAUUUUCUUGCACAACUAAACAUUUAUGUGCUGCCUCCUAACUGUUCCCAUGCUCAAAACCUAAUACUUCUAGGCCCAAAAUUCGAGGCGUUACACUUCUUGAUGAACUUCUUUACAAAACUCGAGCUAAAAACGAUAAUUGGUGCUUACCCUUUUCUUUGGUUCUGAACUACAUUGUUAUAGAUGUCUGGUCAUACAUAUUGAGGGUUAAGUAGAUAUGUUAUGGUGAUUUUGUAAAAAUAGAGCGAUAGGAAAGAUGGGUGGAGUAUAGUGAUUAUAGGUUAGCUUAAAAGUGCAAAAAGAAAAAAUUUAAACAAGAAACUACACGAGUAGAAAAAAGUAUGUGAAAAAUGAAGGAAUUUUUUAGUGCAGUACCGUGGAAAAGAAAGAAAAGUGAGAAAGUCACAACAAUAGAAAAACUCGUUUAGUGUACAAAAACUCAUGAGCUAAUCGUAGUUACUAUAUGAUGCUGAAAUUUCCUACAAGAAGAAAUAAGGAAUGUGAGAGAAGGAGAAAUAAGGCGGUGAGCAAGAAAGGGUCACUAAGAAGGAGAAUAGAGGGCAGUAUGAUGUGCCAAACUAUUUUCAUGCUUAAAACUAUUUGAUGCUUACUAUUCUUGAAUUACAUACCUGUCCCAAGCCGAAAAGCCCUUUGUGAUCUAGGUAGACUUCUUUACAAUUUGAAAUCAUACUGAAUAAUUGCAUUUAUGAUUGUUUAUAUUCUGCUAAAAUAACUAAAUUACUUGCAUAAUUUAUUGAUGGAUUCCUACAUUUGAGAUCCUUAAUACUUGUAUGCUUUGUAAUAUACUGAACUUAGGUGUUUAAUAUCAGAAGUGGUAAGUCAGCUACAUAUCAUGCUGAAAUUAUGUGUAAAUAUGAAAUGCUUAUUCAUGUGCUUUAAAACUAGCACUUGUA